UGGGGAAUAUUGGGCAAUGGGCGAAAGCCUGACCCAGCAACGCCGCGUGAAGGAAGAAGGUCUUCGGAUUGUAAACUUCUUUGAUCAGGGACGAAAGAAAUGACGGUACCUGAAGAACAAGCCACGGCUAACUACGUGCCAGCAGCCGCGGUAAUACGUAGGUGGCAAGCGUUAUCCGGAUUUACUGGGUGUAAAGGGCGUGUAGGCGGUUCUGCAAGUCAGAUGUGAAAUUCCCGGGCUUAACCCGGGCGCUGCAUCUGAAACUGCAGAACUUGAGUACUGGAGAGGAUAGUGGAAUUCCUAGUGUAGCGGUAAAAUGCGUAGAUAUUAGGAGGAACACCAGUGGCGAAGGCGGCUAUCUGGACAGUAACUGACGCUGAGGCGCGAAAGCGUGGGGAGC
rnacentral:rRNA from 1 species